rnacentral:rRNA from 1 species
UGGGGAAUAUUGGACAAUGGGGGCAACCCUGAUCCAGCAAUGCCGCGUGUGUGAAGAAGGUCUUCGGAUUGUAAAGCACUUUCGACGGGGACGAUGAUGACGGUACCCGUAGAAGAAGCCCCGGCUAACUUCGUGCCAGCAGCCGCGGUAAUACGAAGGGGGCUAGCGUUGCUCGGAAUGACUGGGCGUAAAGGGCGUGUAGGCGGUUUACACAGUCAGAUGUGAAAUCCCCGGGCUUAACCUGGGAGCUGCAUUUGAAUAC